AGCCGCCGCGGUAAUACGAAGGGACCUAGCGUAGUUCGGAAUUACUGGGCUUAAAGAGUUCGUAGGUGGUUGAAAAAGUUGGUGGUGAAAUCCCAGAGCUUAACUCUGGAACUGCCAUCAAAACUUUUCAGCUAGAGUAUGAUAGAGGAAAGCAGAAUUUCUAGUGUAGAGGUGAAAUUCGUAGAUAUUAGAAAGAAUACCAAUUGCGAAGGCAGCUUUCUGGAUCAUUACUGACACUGAGGAACGAAAGCAUGGGUAGCGAAGAGGAUUAGAUACCCUCGUAGUCCAUGCCGUAAACGAUGUGUGUUAGACGUUGGAAAUUUUUUUUCAGUGUCGCAGCGAAAGCGAUAAACACACCGCCUGGGGAGUACGACCGCAAGGUUAAAACUCAAAUGAAUUGACGGGGACCCGCACAAGUAGUGGAGCAUGUGGUUUAAUUCGAAGAUACGCGCAGAACCUUACCAACACUUGACAUGUUCGUCGCGACUCUAAGAGAUUAGAGUUUUCGGUUCGGCCGGACGAAACACAGGUGCUGCAUGGCUGUCGUCAGCUCGUGUCGUGAGAUGUUGGGUUAAGUCCCGCAACGAGCGCAACCCUCACUUUUAGUUGCCAUCAUUUAGUUGGGCACUCUGAAAGAACUGCCAGUGAUAAGCUGGAGGAAGGUGGGGAUGACGUCAAGUCCUCAUGGCCCUUACGUGUUGGGCUACACACGUGCUACAAUGGUAUCUACAACAGGAAGCAAAACUGCGAAGUUAAGCAAAUCCUUAAAAGAUACCUCAGUUCGGAUUGCACUCUGCAACUCGAGUGCAUGAAGCUGGAAUUACUAGUAAUCGUGGAUCAGCGUGCCACGGUGAAUGCGUUCCCGGGUCUUGUACACACCGCCCGUCACACCAUGGGAGUUGGUUCUACCUUAAGGCAAGGUUUCAAACCCUUGACCACGGUAUAGUCAGCGACUGGGGUGAAGUCGUAACAAGGUAGCCG
rnacentral:rRNA from 1 species